GCUGAAAAUCUGCAGUUUUGCAGAAUUUGAUUCUUUAGCUCUCGAAAACCUUCCACAACACACUUUUGAUCGUUUUAACACCUUCGGACUUUCCGAAGUGUACCAUCCUCGCACUCAAAGUUCGAUAUUUAUUUUCCCGAAUUUUCGGUAUAUUACAUUCUCCACCCCUUAAAAUAAUUUCGUCCGCGAAAUUACGCAUACCUUAACUCGUCGACUCAAACAGAUGCGGAUAUUCUCGCCGCAUGGUUUCUUCGA
rnacentral:lncRNA from 1 species